GAGUUCCGGCAGAGAGCGAGGUGAGAAACGCAGCGCGGCCGUCGAUCCCAGGGCCCUCCAGGCCCUCCGGCCUGAGGCUGGCGGGUGACCUGGGGGGCCCGGGGACAGGUCGCGGGCUCCGACCUGCAGAGACCCAGCGCCCUCGCCGCCGCUGCCCAUCGGCCAGGUCCAGAAUGAAGCAGCUGCGAGCUUCUCCGCACCCCCCACCCCCACCUUGGCGCCGAUGGCGGCGGCCUCUCGGAGCCCAGACCUCGCCUGCUGCCCACUCCCCGGGCGCAACUCUGCGGGACCUCCGCCAAGCCCCUGCCCGAGCCAGCGGGGUCGUGGCGCCUUUGGACGUCGGGUGUGGCGGAGCGAGAAGAAUGGCGGCCACGCGAAUGCUGCGGAGGGCCGUUGGGGCCGCCGAGAGCCUGAGAAGGCAGGUCUGCGUGGACGCAAGCUCGGCAACCUUUGGGCCUUGGAGCCCCACAGGCCCGGCCCUGGGAUGACAGCUCCGCCCCCACUGGACGAAACCUCACUUUCUAUGGAGAACGGUGGACAGAGGCCCUAACGGGCCGGGAAGAAAUGUCUUUUGAAAAUGACUUUGAAAUGGAAUUGCUAGACCACCUCUAGAAGGGACAUCAGGAGCGACUCGCGUCCACGUUUGUUCAGUGGGUAAGAGGACAUGAAGUAGACGACCUUGAGGAGGAAGAAAAGAAGGUUCGGUGCCAGACUGGUCAUAUUUAGAAGACAUUUUCAUAUUACAACCAUUGUUUUGUGUGUGCAUUUUAUCCCUCAGCUACUGUAUAUAUAGUUGACAAUGCUAAGUACAUUUUUGAAAUAUCUAGUCUUUCUAGAUGUUCUGAAGUGCCUGAUAACGUGUUAAAAAUAGACGUAGUAAAAAGACAUUCUUGUAAAUACCUUUCUGUUAACAUUCAUAUGGAAUGCUGUCUAAUUUAGGGGGAAUGGCCGAACCACCUCUUUGAAUAGUACACAUUGUGUUUGUGCACUGGUUCAGAGGGGGUGGGAGAAGGAAGUGCAGAGAGUUCUGCCAGUGUGUUUAUAGUGAGGGAAGGUAAACCAUUGUACUUUAUGUUCCUGCAUUUUGGUUUACUUAGCUGUGUAUAUAGUGUACAUACUGGACAAAUGAGUCCUAAUUUUCAACAUCUAGUCUUUCUAGAUGUUAAAGAGGUUGCCAGUGUAUGACAAAAAUAGAGUUAGUAAACUAAUACAUGGUGUACAUUUUGUGUUAAAAUUCCUAGAAAGCUCGUCUUCUGAAAAUGUGAGCAUUAUAGCCCACUGGGUUGGUGGAGAAAGGAGAGAUAAGAAUGGAUAGUCUUAGGCUAGAAUGUUCACAUUUUGAAGACACUUUCAGAUUAUAACUGUUACAUGUGUGCAGUUUAUUCAAGACUGCUGUGUAUAUAGUGGACAAAUUAUGUCCUUAUUUAAAACAUCUAGUUUGUCUAGAUGUUUAGAAGUGCCCAACGUAUGUUAAAUGUAGAGGUAGUAGAAUACCGCUUUGUAAAUAUCUUUUUGCUUAAAAUUCAUAGGAAAUAAACCGUCUUGGUGAUGGAAUUGUUCAACCACCUCUGAGCAGUAUUCUAUCAUGUAUCUUUGUUCUGUUGCUUGAAGGUGGUGGAAGGGAAAGAAUUGCAAAAGGUAAUAUGUUAGCGUGUUUGUGCUUGGACAUUUUCAGACAAAACCAUUUUUUGUAUGUUUUGUGCAUUGUGUUUUGCUGUGUAUAUAGUGUAUAUAAUGGACAAAUGAGUCCUAGUUUUGCAACAUCUAGUCUAUAGAUGUUGAAGAGGUUGCCAAUGUAUGACAAAUUAGUAAAAUUAGCACAUUCUAUACACAUUGUGUUGAAAUUCAAAGGAAAGCUUUUCUUCUGUAAAUGACUUUUGGAUAUGAAUUUGUUCAACCACCUUUAAACAUUACACUUGCCUGUACUUGUCUACUGGAUUGGUGGUGGAGAGAAGGAAGUGAGGGAGGGGAUAGUUUAGUCCAAAAUGAUGGUCAUAUUUAGAAUAUAUCUCAGAUUGUACCCAUUGUUAGGUGUGUGCGGUUUUAUUUAACAGUGCUGUUGUGUACUCAGUGGACAAGUACUUAUAUGAAAUAUCUAGUCUUUCUAGAUAUUUAGAAAUGUUUGAUGUAUGUAAAAGUAGAGUAAUGCUUCUUAUAAAUAGCUUUUAAAAACUGAUGGGAAAUAUUAUCUUUGGAAAUGGAAUUGCUAAACCACUUCUCUGAACAGUAUACUUGUUCCUUGGUUUGAGGGAAGUGGGAGGGAAGAAAUUGCAAAAGAUGCUUUGCUAGUGUGUAGUAGGAAAUUUCAGCUUAUUCAUUGCCCUAUAUGUUAUGUGCAUUUAACUUGACUGUAUAUAUUGUAUAUAUACUGGACAAAUAGGUCCUAAUUUUAUAAUAUCUAGGCUCUAGAUAUUAAAGAGGUUGCCAAUGUAUGACAAAAGUAGAGUUAGUAAACUAACACAUUUUGUACACUUUGUGUUAAAAUUCAUGGAAAGGCUGUCUUCUGAAAAGGACUUGAAGAGAUAACAUUGUAGUCACAUCUAAGUGACACGUUCCUAUUUGCACUCACCCACUGGGUGGGCGGUAGAGAGGAGUUGUGAGAAAUGAAGGGUUCUAGACUGGAAUGUUGCCAUGUAGAAGACACUUUCAGAUAUAACCCAUUGUUACAUGUGUGUAGUUUAUUCAACACUACUGUGUAUAUAGUGGACAAACUCAAGUCCUUAUUUGAAACAUCUAGCCUUUCUAGAUGUUUAGAAGUGCACAAAGUAUGUUAAAAGUAGAGGUAGUAAAAUAACACAUUUUGUAGAUAAUCCUUUUGUUAAAAUUCAUAUGAAAUACUGUCUUUUGAAAAUGGAAUGAUCAAAAUGAUGAAACCAUCUCUCGGAGCAGUACACAUCAUAUGAUAUUUGUACUGGUUCAGGGAGGAGGGAGAAGAAAGAGCAAAGGGCUUUAUACCAGGAUGUUUGUAGUUAGGGAGGACUAACCAUUGUCCUGUAUGUCUGCAUUUUGUUUUAUUUAGCUGUGUAUAUAGUGUAUAUAAAGGACAAAUGAGUCCUAAUUUACAACAUCUAGUCUUUCUAGAUGUUUAAGAGGUUGCCAGUGUAUGACAAAAGUAGUUAGUAAACAAAUACAUUGUGUACACUUUGUGUUUAAAGUCAGGAAAGACUAUUCUGAAAACUAGAGGAAGUGAAAUUGUUAAAAUCCCCUCUAAGCAUUACAGAUGCUUCUACUUUCCACUAUGUUGAUAGAAAUGAGAAGAGGAAGGAUUCUAAGCCAGAAUAUUCUUUCAGUGCUACUAUGUAUGUAGUGGGCAAAUUUUUAAAUAAAUCCUUACUUGAAACAUCUAGUCGUCUGGAUGUUUGAAAGUGAACAACAUGUUAGUAGAGUAGCAACACCCUUUAUUGUUAAUUUACAGGAAUGUUUGUAUUUUGGGAAUGGAGUUGUUAAACUUGAUGUCUUGGGGAGUAUGCUGACUGUUCACUGGGUUCACUAGGGGAUGGGGAUGGGGGCAGGGAAGGAAGUGAGGAGCAAAGGGUUCUGUGCCCGUGAGUCUUUAAAGUUUUGUAUGUGCAUUUUAGUUAAUGUUGCUGUGUGUCAAAGGAUAAACAAGUCCUAAUACCCAAAAUAUAUUAAAAGUAGAGGUAGUAAAAUACUCCCUUUAUGAAUGCCCUUUUGUUAGUUUUUAAGAAGGACUGUUCUGGGAGUGUCUGUCAGUCACCUCUUAGAGCUAGAUGUAGUCCUAUGCUUGGUCAUUAAAAUGGUGGAGGGAGCAGAGGAGGGGUGAAGGGAAGGGCUUUUUGCUAGUUAUCUCCACAUAUAGAAGACCAUUUUAGGUUAAAACCAUAGGUCUGGAUGUGCAUUUUGAUGAAGUACCUGUGUUUGUUGUGGACAAGUGUCAUUAUUUUGUAACAUCUAAGCUUUUUGGAUGUCCUGAGGUGACAAUGUAUGAUAAAAUGUACAGCUAGUGAAUCAACCAAUUUAUAAGUUUUUGUUAUCAUUGAUAGGAAAGAAGCAUCUUGGACAUGGAAUUGUUACGCUGUCUCAGAAAUGUGAGGACUUACUAGGUUGGCCGCAGAGGGGCAGGAGGAAGGAUAGAGGGAGAGCUGUAUGCGGAUGCGUUCAUACUUACAUUGUAAUAACUGUUAAUGUGUGUGCGUCUCUUCGGCUGUACUAUAGGAAUACAUUAAGUGAUUCAAUGGAAACAUACCCCGUUGCUAAUAUUUGAAUAGUAUAGAUUGGAUAAUGAAUUCUUUUAGAAGCAUUAUACAUUGUGUACUCUUACUUAUGUCUGUUUUUAUUGAACAUUAAGGGAAUGCAGUAUUUUAAUGGUAACCCUGCCAGUAUCUUUAUCUAGAGGCCUGUUGCCAUUUUUGUCCUCUCUGAAAUCUUUGUCGCCGAGAAAGGCAGGAUUACACUUUUUUCUUUCAGAUGGAGUUGGUGUAGUGUAUUCUUGGUUA